rnacentral:lncRNA from 1 species
GAUUUACGACUACCCGUCUUCUCUCAGACUCUGCUCCUGGGAUGUAACAUUCAUUGCUUGCUAUGUCUAUACCUCACUACAUGCAAUGCACCUUUAGAAGACUGUCUCCUUACUCCAUAAUGGAAUUUGUCUCUGACCUAUUGCAGCUAUGAGAGAAGCAUUACCUGCCCCAGAGGCUACCUGCCACUCAGUGAAGAUCAUAUGCCUAAGUCAUGACAUCAACAUCAAACUCUCUUCAAAUCUGGGAGAAAGGCUCAGCUCUUACAACCAGGACAAGAAGAAAUGACACCAGUAGAGAGAUCAUUUGGUGAGCAGCAGGGUUGAAAGAGCCUCAAACCAUGGAGAGAGAGCCUGGAUCUCGAGUAGAAAGGCUUCUGGCACUGAAGAAGUCAAACAGGAUCCCUGAGAGGGAAAAAGCCAGGAGCUUGGGGAAUUAUCUUCACCAAGGUCUGUCUAGAGAUGUGGUUGGCAGAUUUAUGACCCCCAAAGAUGUCUACAUCCUAAACCCAGGAAUCGGUUGCUAAGACUGAGUAAAACAAGAAAAGCAAUGGGGAACCUCACUCACAUCCAUGCUUCCUUGUCUCAUCUGUAUGUAUGAUUUUUGCACAACUUAUUUGAUACUUUGGACAUAAAGCAAGGUCUAGAAGUUUGGCUCAGAGUACCUACAUGGGACCUAUCCAUCACAGCAGCCUAAGUGUAGUUAGCUUUAUUCCACAGUAACGGGAUUCCAAGGGUGAGUAUGCCAGAAAAUGAGGCAGAAGCUCAUGGCCUUCAUAACCUAGCCUCAGAAGUCACAUAGCAUCUCUUCUGCCAAGUUCUCUUGGUUGAAGCACUCGCAAACCCAUCCAGAUUCAAGAGGAUUGUUCAUUUUCAUACCUUUGUAAGAAGAUUGUCAUAGAACAUGCAGCCCUGUUUCAACACCACCACACUCACCAUUCUCUUGGGGGAAAUACUGUGCAAAUGAAGUUAUCUCUCCUUUCUUAAAAGUCAUAUUUUUAUUGUUUCAUCAAUACUUUGAGGACUCUGUACUAGCUGUGGCUCCAGGAGUCACUAGGAUAACCUAAAGAAGAUGAAGAACAAUUUGGUCCUCACAUUCUUGAGUGGUUUAAUUAAUCAUGUGGUACCCUCUGGAAACACAGCUGUAGGCAAGGUAACAUCUCAAGCCUGGAUGUAAGUCACCAUUUCCAUAAAGUUUAUGAUAAUUGACCUACUUCUCCACAUAGCAUCAUCUUUUAAAAUCUCUUCCUCUCAUCCCCAAAAUGAUACACAUCCCACAAUAUGGAGCAGGGUCAUUAUCUAAUGAGAUGGAUGGAGUGAGCCAAAAAAAUUAACCCUUGCCACUGAUUGAGAGACAUUGGUCCUUAAGGGAUCUUGAGUAAUGAUCACAACCUCCUGGGGGUUCUCAUGUCACCUACAGAAGUCACCCAUCACUUCUAGGAAAACAAUCCACUGAUGGAUUCCUGAUGCAUCUGAGUAUUCUUGCCAAGAAUAUUGCUUGGAUCCAGAUAGGUCCUUCAUCACAUCCAGCAGCCACACAUUAGAGAUUUAAAUGAACAGUAAACUUACAUAAACCCCACACAUUAAGUAAAGGAAUGGGAAAGGAGCCCAGCACUAACUAUCUAGCUCUGCUUGUAUCACAAGUGGAAACUAUAAGUGUGUUCUAAAACAACAUAGGCUGUAGAUUAUCACUCACUAAGUGUCACAAUCCAUAGAGAACAGACUGUGGGCUAUUCAAGGGCCGUCCACAGAGACAAAGCGGUUGAGUAUGAAGGCCAAAGUAGUUUGGAAUAUCUGCUGACUUCAGACUUGGUCCUAUUAACCCAUUCUCAUAACGCUACUACUGGUCCCUAUUCUAAUUUCUAUCCACUCUUUAAGCCUUUCUGACAUGGUCAUUAUGGAAUUUAGAUUGAUUACCUUUUGAUCUUGCCUUUGCCUCUAAACUCCAUUUUAAGAUCAUAAUCAUUACCAUUGCCUGGAUAUUUUUAUCAAACAUCAAAUUUCCACAAGGUUUUCUAGCAUACAUAGCAUAACUUUGACCCCAAACUACCAAAAUUUUCAAGAGCAUAAUCAAUAGGGCUUCUCUGAAACCAUCAUCCCUCACUCUCUCAAUUUGUUGCAACAAAUGCCCUCAAUGGCGAUCUUUUCUUCCCACCUCUCCUUCCUCUCUCCUCUUAGACACCCUCUGGACUAUAUCUGGAGGAGGCGAGAUAGCACCAGCGUUGGGUGGGGAAAAACUGGAGUAGAACACAUCUCACUUGGAGAUGCUCAGAAAGUACUCAUAGGUGGAUUUGCAGAGCCAGACACAGUGGGAAAGGAAAAAACAGAAAAAUAAAACAUAACAUCUCUGCUCUCGGAUAACGUGCUGUUUAUUUUGUUUCUCCUCCAAGGAGUGCAAGUACCUUGCCCAAAGAACACUCUGCCAUUUCUUACAAAUUGCCAGAAAUACUCCCUGCAAGACUCAGAAAGCAAAAUCUCUAUCUGUUUCUACGGAAACCUCAGCUUGACACGAGGCACCUUAGACUACACCAAUCUACAGACACUAACAAGACAUGACCCACAGAACAGAAGAGAGUGGGAAAAAAGAGAAUGGCAAGUUAGAACUACAAAGAAAAAUUAGAAAUAUAACUCUUGGUCCCUAGGCCCUGGAAAGGCAUAGUGCCUGGAAAAUGGUGAGGAUGGAAUUCCUGUUUAUGGAAUGAACAAUUUAUUUUCCCUGCUGCAGUACUUACAUAUCCAUUGUGUCUCUCCAAGCACUGGCCUUCCCCUGCUAGGAUCCUGGCACCUCCCCUUUUUCCUCCACAGAGACCCCUCCUGCCCACUUAUGUUACACCAGACCCCAACAGAACACUUAACACAAAGCUGCAGGCUUGGUGAUUGCUCUUUGAUAUAACCUUCAGCAGAAGCAGUAGAGCAAGCCUUGCCCUCUCUUCUCAUAGGUGCUGCUGUUCUCUUUGCAAAUGCCCUCUCUAUUCCUUUCACCCCUGCAGCUGCUGCCUUCAUCUUCCUAGGGCAGCCACCUCUGUCCAGACUCCUUGCUGUCCUUCCUGAGGUACCUUGUCAGUAAUGGUCUUCAUCAUGAUCCUCCACCCACGGUCACUCUACUCCAGUAGCCUAGACGCCCCCAGAAAUGACAGCAUUACUUCUCUCCAUCCUAGGGAGGUGCAGCCACCCACCUCAAAACCAGCCUUGCACUGACCUUGAAAGUACAUUCACUUCACCAUCCCUAAGCAAGGGAACUAAUUCCAUCCCAAUCUGGGCCAUUUUUCCUCCUCACUUCUCUGCAUCUACUUUUACUCUUGCCACCACCUAAACUAAUUCUGCACAUCCUGCAUCAAAAUCUAGUUUCUUAUCUUUAUACUCUAUCAAGGACCUGUCAAUACAAUAAAGAGGCAUCAGAGUUCACCUACAAUGAUAAGAAUACAUUUCUCUAAGAAACACAAAGCUGACAGAGCAUCAAGGGCAGAGGCUCAGCUUGAAAAUUCUUGAGAUCUGCAGGAAGUUUGAACGAUUUGACUCUGCUGGGUGGUGAUGACUGGUGAGAAGAGAUUUUGAUGCAAAAAUUGAAUCUCAGCCUCCCUUUUCUUAUUGUGAAGUUCUCAAGAUAGCAAAAUGAGCUCUCUGAGGGCUGAAAAUAGUGGAUCUCUAACCUUAAUGUGCAUCAGAGUUACCUGGAGGGCUUGUGAAAACAGACUAUUUGGCUCCACCCCCAAGCUUCUGAUUCAAUAGGUCUUGGGUGGGGGCUGAUAAUUUGCAUGUCUAACAUAUUCCCUUGUGGUGCUGGUGCUGUUCAGUCAGGAACCAGUUUGAGAAUAACCAUACAGAGGCUUGGCAAGUUAGGAAGAGGAAGUGGUGUAAAGUCCUCCAGGAAAGAGAACAAGGAACCCUCAAAUCCCUCUGGGUGAGAAAGAAAUAAAUCCCUUUAGAAGAGGGAUGUGCACCACAACAGUGGAAUUUGAUACUCAGGGAAAUAUCAGUUAUAGUAAAAAACAAGCCUGGCAGUUUCUCAAGAAGAGAAAGUGAGCCUGUCCCUCUGAGUUGUAGGGCUAAGGGGUUCAUGGUUUUAGGUCUAUAAAGCAUAAGAUACAGGAUAAUAGUGGAAGCUGAGGUUCAAUCAAGUAAAAGUUAACUGAUAAAACUGGAGGGACCCACUUCUAGUGCCCAUUCUUAAAGUAGUGGAAGCUGAAAUUACACUCAUGUGUGUUUGAUUAUUUGAAAGAUAAAAUGAGAUUAGUGCAUUUUAGGUGCAUUUUCACCAAGCACCUGCAAGGUUCUGUGUCAGAUGCUAAUAACACACAGAAGAAAGCAAUUGGUACCUGCCCUCAAGCCACACACUGUUUAGUUACUUAGGUGCGGAUAGUCCUCUACCCCCAGGACUCAUAAUUGAGAGGAUAGUGCCAUGGUUAAGGGCAUGGACUGUGGCGUCAGAAACACCAGAUGUAAACCCUUACUCUACAGUUCUCUAGCUGUAUGGUUCUGAAUCAUUUGAUUGAUGUCACCAAAUCACAAUUUCCUCACCUUUAAAAUAGGGAUAAUAAUUUCUUUCUAACAGGCUGUUAAAGGAUCGAUGAGAAAAUGCUUGUGCAGCACUGCACACCAGGACCGGCACAAAGCAAGAUAAUGAGCGAGGCAUUUUUUUUUCUUGGCUCCUGUCCUUUAGUCUGCCUGCCCAAAACUGACAUCUAAAACAGGCAAGCUGGGAGCCACAGGCCCUAUCUCUCAUCUAACCACAACCUAAAAACUUCAUCAAGUGGAAUAGUAACAGGUUGAAGGGUUUCACUAUCAAGUCAGCCUGGAUGUUGCCUGUAUCUGAGUCUGUGCCUAAACCACUGUUUUCAGACAUGUACCCCAUUUUUUCCUGUUCACCUGGGUCCUUGUCUUACACCUCUCUCCUCCCUGUCUGAGAUCUUAUCUCAGUUUUCUACUUGGUCACUCACGCCAUAUGGAGUCAUUGACAUGCCUUGAUCUUUUUCUUUUUCUUUCUUCUUAGAUGAAUCCUGUUUCUGUGUCCCUAGUAAUAAGUUCUGACUCACUCAUUAACAUGUGACUUCCUGCCUACCUCUUAAUUUAAUUGGGCAUGUCCCCAGAUACUGGGAACCACUUGUUCUAUCUCAGCCUCAGAAAAAAACAAGACUAGAGAGUGCUCUUGGCUCUGUGUCAGGUGAGGGAGGGAACUUUGGGUGACAGAGCAUAUGGAUGAGCUCAAGGUGGACCAGAGACCUCUAUUCUAGAAUUCUGUGCCUUGCUUUGAGUCUUGACCCCAAUCCUCAGUCCAGAGAGCCUAACACCUUUACCAUGAAACUGCCUACCAGGCAUGAUUGGUCUAACUUUCCAAGGUUAUUCUGAAGUCUAAAAUAGGUAGUAUUGUGUAUUGUGUGUAGUUAAGUUUUGUUGGUAGACUUUGACAGCUUUGGUGUCUGGAUCCCUCUAAUAUGUGUAUCAUCCCUAGAGUGUGGUCUUAAUAAGAAAGUUUUGGUCUGGUUGAGAUUAGUUUCCUAGAGAAGUAACAGGGACUAACCUUAUCUGGACAUGAGGGUAAAUCUCUCCCACACAGAGCCUCGAAGUCUGGGCCCCUCAAAGGAAAGUGGAAGUGGCUCUGGAAACAUAGACCACUGAAAAUGGGUUUCUUUUUUUAGAGGAUUCUAUAAAGAGGCCUCUCAGCUGCAUGGAGAUUUGAAUAUCAAGGAGCAAGGAUAGAAGCUAGAAAAUCCAUCAGCAGGCCAUAGUAAAAGUUCAGACAAAAGAUGAUGGUGGUUACAUCUAAGGUAGGAGUAGCAAAGUUAAGGAAAAUCUAUGGGAAAUGCUGUCCCAUGGAUAAUACAGUCAACAUAAUUUAUUAGUGAACUGGAUAUAUUAGCAAAGAGAUGAGCUGAUGAGGAAGCCAAGGAGUUUGGCCUGAGUAUCUUAAAUAAUGUAAUUGCUUUUUGUUGAUGUGAGGAAGUUGGGAGAGAAGGAGCUAUAGAAGAAAUUAGGAAUUCAGUUAUGGGAAAAAUAAUUUUGAGUUGUAUUUUAAGUAUCUAUAUAGAGGUGAGCAGCAGGCAUAUGUGUACAACAACAUUCAAGUCUGGAGUUCAUAAGCAGGGUCGGAAUUAGAGAAAAAAAAUGUCUGGGUGGUCAGACUGUAGAUAGUGUUCACAGCCUUGGAAUUAGAUGAGAUAACAAAUGCAUGAGUUCUGACAGAGUAACUUAGGGGUCUCAGCAUAGGACCCUCCAACCUUUAGAGUAUAAAAGCAGAAUCCUAAUGUUCUAAAGUCAAUGAAGAGGCCGAGGAUCAAGGACAGAGUUGGCAAUAGCGCUCAAGAAAUCACAAGGCAGACAUUCUUCUGAGUAAUCAGAAAAGGAAAUCCUACUGCUGAGGUGGAGGGCCAGAUAAUCGACUAUGAGUGUUUGUUCAGAGGCACCGCAGGCCACAAAAUCACAUCCAGGCAUUCAUGGUGAUAAUGAGAAUUCACAAUCAUGAAAGUGCAAAACAGGGGCUCUUGAGCUCCUUGGUCUCAGGACCCCACUGCACUCUUAAAAAUAUCAAGGUUUUAAUUACAUCUAUCAAUAUUUAACAUAUUGAGCAUUAAAACUAAAAGAAAAUGAAAACACACAACUACACAAGCAUCCAUUUCAUUUGCCAUCAGAGCAAUUGAUGCCAUCACUCAUCAUUCUAGAAAACCCCACUGUACAGCUGUGAAAGAAUAAGAGUGAAAACGAAAAUGGCAGUGUGACUAUAAAAAUGUGAACAUAUUCUUGACCCUUUGUACCUCAUAAGAUGGUCUUGCAGAGCCUGAGGAAUCCCUAGACCACGCGUUGCAAGCCACCCAUCUAAACAGUGAUGACAGCAAAAAUUAGGUGAGGGAAACUUGAGAAAUAGACCAGAAGUAAUGUGACCAAUGGGCUGUGGGGGGUACCUUCUGGGUACUAUGUCUCUCAUGGAGGAGAGACAUGUAAGGAUGACUGGGGUGCCUCACAUGAUGCCCAGAUUUGGGCCUGGAGACUGUCUGCAGGGUGCUGUCUUUUAAUAAAAUAGGGCAGUAGUUUUCACAGUGCAGUUUACAAUCCAUUAGAGGGUAGAGAAUUCAAUUUAAUGUGUGGCAGCCAUCAUUUAAAAAAAUAAAAUAUAUUAUAAUACAAACUAUCAUGAACUGUUUUAUAUAUGUGCAUAUGCGAUAUGUAUAUAUCUAUACAUAAAUAUAUCAGUGCUGUGUAAAGUUGGAAAACAUAGCUUAUGUGUGAGUCAAGUUUGAGAAUCUCUGAGAUAGGGAAUACUAGAAGUAGCAGCCUCCUGAUGAUGUCCUUGCUUCUAGUCUUUUCCUCCAUUUUAGAAUGACUUUCCAAAAUAUCACUCUAAACAUGAAAAUCCUUUAUUUAAAGUCUUUUGAUGGCCUCUUCCUCUUUACUACAGAGCAAAGCCCAAACACUUUCGCAUGGCACAGAGGGCACCACAGAGUCUGACCGCAGCCUUUCUCUCAGGUGUUAACUCAUAACAUUCUCCCCACUAAUACCCUUCUCUCAAGUCAAAAAAGACAUGUAAAGUCCCGAAAUAUGCCUUGACUUCUCUGGUGUCUGUACUGGACUGUGCCCUGUAUGUCAUUUCCUUUGCCUGAAAUUUUCAACAUUUAGACCAACUCACAUUCCAUGAUCCAGCUCUUCCAGGGGUAGCAGAACAUGACCAGAUCUUCACCAAAAUUUCCCCUUCCUAGGCACAUAAGAAACAACACUUUCCUGCCUUUUUGUAAGGAGGUGGGCAUAUGAUCUGCUCUGGCCAGUGGAAUGUAGGUAGAAAGUGAUCUAUACCACUUCCAGACCAAGCUCCAAAAUAUUUUGUGCCAUCCUCCAUGUUUUCUCUCUUUCUUCUUUAAACCACCAGAUAGAGAAAAUCUCUGGGUCCUAGUGGAUCUCAGUUCUAGUAGAAUGAACACCCUCAACCCCCAAACUUUGCAUGGACCCCAGAUAAACUUUUAUUGUUUUAAAAUAUUAAAAUUGGAGGCUGUGCAUUUUACCCACCCUAACCAAUAUACCAAGUUUGAUGCCUUGCCAUUUACCAAAUCCUCUCAUUGUUUUCCAGGAAUGAGACGGGGAGAUAGGAAGCUCUCUUAUUCCUAAACUCUUAUUACAGUCUCCACUGUUUCCAGCCUCCUCAUGUAUGUCCAGAGUCAACAACAGGCCUAGAAAGCUGGAAAUGGAAGCAGCAGAAACCUUUGUUCCUCCAGGGUUUAGGAUGGCAAUGGGGAACAAGUGUUCAUCCCUAUAUUGCACACAGCACUCAUCCUGUUCACAGAUCCACAGGAAAUAACUAGAGCUCAUCAGUCCUCCUAGGCCAUGAAUUUUCAAAACAAUCCUAGCACCUAUGGGGCAUCGUGGUCAUCCAAGCCCUAAGAAGGCUGCUGUCCAUCCAGUCAAGGCUAUCGGAGGGUGUCUGAGGUGUCCUCUCCCUCCUUAUCUGCACCCCUUCCCCUUCCUGCCUUCUCAGCCAGCAGCAGCAUUGCUUCAUUGAGGAAACCUGCACAACACACAAGCAACUAAGAGGCUUCUGGAUUUCAAAAGCCUGAGUUUUGAAGAUCUCAGCCUCCAGCAUUUAUGUCAUAAACAAAAUAUUUGGACCAUUGAUGGAGAGACUUUUACCCUCAGGCUAGAUUAAGAUUCACUAAUCAAGAGAAAGAAAAGAAGCAAAUCGGACCUGAAGAAGGUAGCUGAACCUUGAAGAGGGGAAUAACAGAAACUCAAGGUCAGGUGGAAAAAUCCAAGAGUACUUUACUGAGUUGUGAUGAGGAGACUCAUAGAAGCUUCACAUUUCUCUGACUGGGGCCAACAGGUCCUCCUCCCACACUCUGGACAGCCAGAUUCCUAUUUGGCAUUAAUCUGUGUGUUCCACAGUCCGCUUCUACAGCCUCAGGAAACCUCCCGUCAACACUGGGACCUCGGUAUGGGGCAAAUUUCAGGAGGAAAAGAAUAAAAGGAAUAAAAGUUAAGUCCUCCAGUAUUUUUUGGCAGAAAGGUGAGGAGCAAAGUUCCAAUGACUCAGGAUCAGUGAUAGAAGUUGUUGGUCCAUGGGGAAAAGAAUUGGGCAUCUCCAGCUCUGUGAUCUUUCUUCCAGGCCCUUGACCUGCCACCAGCAUUUUACAUACCCACGCAUACACACACAAUUAUAUUCCCCAAAAAUACUCCCCAAAGAGGAUUUCCAGAGUGCUUUUAGAUCCUUUGACAUUUCCAACCUCUCCUCCAGUGAUUUAAAAAAAAAAUCUUCACUAGAAUCAUAAUGUCUCUGGUAUUUCUUUUCAAGAAAUUCCAAUCACAUAAUUGAACAGGGUUGAGUUGUAGGAGAGGGUUAAGAAGAACAGGCUCUCUGAGUGACAGUCACACUCAGGCGCCAUCUGGCUGCAACCCACUGUAUCAACAGCCAAACCAUGAGGUCCACACAGGUUACACUGGCGGGUACGCAGAGGCAGGGACAUCUAUCUAGUAGCAAGGCGCCUCACUGUGCAGAUCUGGGCACAUAGCUUCAUCGGAAUUCCUCCCACACCAGCCUCAAACAAGCUGCCCUUUACUGAGUGAGGUUUUCAGGGGAUGCAGGUAGGAAAAGAUUAAACAGUGAAUAACUUUAUUUAUUAUUCCUAACCCAUAGCCAUCUCGGAGGGCUGGAAUAGCUCCCUGGCUCCCUGGGUCUCAGAGAUGCCUAUAGGUCUAGGCUGUGGGUACGCCUGUGGUUUGGGGUUUGUUCUGCUUUCAUUGUGAGCCAAACCUCCAACAAUCCCUACACCCUGGGUGGUUACUAUUGAUUUUUUUUUUUUUUUUUUUUUUGAGACGGAGUCUCGCUCUGUCGCCCAGGCCGGACUGUGGACUGCAGUGGCGCAAUCUCGGCUCGCUGCAAGCUCCACUUCCCGGGUUCACGCCAUUCUCCUGCCUGAGCCUCCCGAGUAGCUGGGACUACAGGCUCCCGCCACAGCGCCCGGCUAAUUUUUUGUAUUUUUAGUAGAGACGGGGUUUCACCUUGUUAGCCAGGAUGGUCUCGAUCUCCUGACCUCAUGAUCCACCCGCCUCGGCCUCCCAAAGUGCUGGGAUUACAGGCGUGAGCCACCGCGCCCGGCCGGUUACUAUUGAUUUAUGCUGGCUGCAAAACAACAGACUGACGCGACAAAGUGAAUGCAAGUGUGGCAGCAUACUAAUGCCAGGCCUAGGAUGUUUCUGUCAUAAGGAAUAUGACAUAAGGAAUAUGGAGUGCAGACUGGGCGGGCUCCCAAUUAAGUAUUUGAUGACGAUUAGUUGAUUCGCUUGUAAGAUUUUGGAGGUUUGUGGGCUCUCUGCAUCGCUGGAUUUGCCUUUGUCCUUGUCAAGUGGUAAUUAUGGAGCACUGUUAACAUGCCUCAGAGGGCAGCCCUCCCACAACACACCCGCUCUUCUGACUUCCAGGGUCCUUCUCACAUUUGCCACUGUAAGAAUUGGGUAUUUUCUUCACUGUCUAAUUUUUCCCAAAACACACACCAGUGAAAGAAGAAAAAUCUCGGUACCCUCUUACCUCCCCAAUGCUACAGUCUCUCACCUCUGCGUAUUUCACGUGCUCUUUCCUCAGUUCUUAUGACUUCCCUAUCUCAUCCAUCUGAGCCUUCAAGACUCAGGACAGGGGUCCCUCAACUGCUCAUGAGGCCAACACUUCUCCUGUUGGAUGCCCUUCACUGUGCUUUGCCUGCAGCACCUGCAAACGCCUCCAUCAUAACUAUUGUAGCACAAGUGCCAUUAUUCUAGAUUUACAAAUACCUUCCCGCUGGGAGCCACCAAAAGGACAAAUUAAAAACUAUUUAUCCUUGAGUCUUCACAUGCAGUAAUCAGAAGAGAUAUUUGUUCAAUCAAAACAUUGUUAAAUGCCAAAAUGUGAAUUUCAGAGACAGACUGACCUGACAUUGGCAAGUUACCUAACUCUUUCCAUCCAAAUUGUCUCAUAGAUCCUUCAACUCUGAAAUUAAUCUAUUCUGAGAUAAAUAUCCUAAUUGCCCAGAGUGUAAAACACUUGGAGCUUAAAAUAGUCAGAUUGAAACCUGACAUCUAAAUAACUAACUUGAUGGGUCAUGUGACAUGAUGCAGAAGUGUGUGGCCAGGAGAUGACCUUACCUUCUUCCUCAGGGUUGGUGCCUUUUAAACAAUGAGGAUGCCUAUUUUUUAAUCUUUUCAAAGAUACAACUACCACAUUCUAAAUCUACUCAGGUACUAAGAAAGAUUAUUGUAAUUAAAAAGAGAAUCUAGCACAAUAUUUUUUGAACUUUUUGAUCACAGCCCUGACAUUUUACAUCUCAAACCAAUAAAAGUAAAAUAAAACUUUUAUAACACAUACAUACAUACUUAUAUUUCUUAUGAUGCCCUCUGGUAUGUUUGUUCUAGAAGAUAAUCCUAUUCUCUUCUAUUUCAUUUUUAAAGAAAUACUGAUUGUAAAUCUGCAAAGGGUCUAUACUUUAGUUGUGGCAAUAUCAAUUGCCUGGUUUUGAUGAUGCACUGUGGCUAUAUAAGACAUUAUCUUUGGGGGAAGCUGGGUGAAGGGCACACAAGAAUGCUCA